UACCAGCACCCCGAGUGGUCGGGACGAUUAUUGGGCCUAAAGCAUCCGUAGCCGGUCAUGCAAGUCUUCCGUUAAAUCCAGCCGCUCAACGGUUGGGCUGCGGAGGAUACUACGUGGCUAGGAGGCGGGAGAGGCAAGCGGUACUCAGUGGGUAGGGGUAAAAUCCGUUGAUCCAUAGAAGACCACCAGUGGCGAAGGCGGCUUGCCAGAACGCGCUCGACGGUGAGGGAUGAAAGCUGGGGGAGCAAACCGG
rnacentral:rRNA from 1 species